rnacentral:lncRNA from 1 species
AUGUUGUGGUUCUUGUGUUUGUAGCCUAUAUGUACUCCCUGAGUCGAUUAUAGAAAUGUUUAUUCCAUUUUGAGUUUUUUGUUCCUUCCUUUUGCUUUGCCGUCUAAGACUGAGAUGACGCCAGCUGCGCUGCAGAUUUGUGAUUGUAAUGGACUGGCCAUGGCAAGGUGUCGUUGUCUCUCUCAAAUUCUGUAAAAUGGAGUACUACUAUAAACCACAGUCUAGUCUGGUUUCGGAGGCUUUUCCAACGAGCGAGAAGCUACAGAAUCACAAUCUAGUCUGGUUCGGCGCUUUUCCAACAAGAAGAGCUUUGUUUCGGUGCUUCUCCAACGAGAUGCCACGAGCAGCAGAAGAGCUUCCGGGAAAGUGCAGGCGUAGAAACACACAGAACAGAACCUUCUUUACCUCGAUCGACAAAAACGCCUCCGUCCAUGACAUGUGGGCCCAGUCUGGACACAACUACCCGUUUGAAAGACCCAAAAGAAAUCCAGUCUAGACACACUUUAAAAGUUUAUAGAUCAAGUUAACACCCACGCAAAUUAAGAGAUCGGAAAUACACUUUAUUCUUUGCGAUGUGUGUUUGAAUGUACUAAAACUAAUAAUUAGCUGCUAAUAUUAGUUAUAUGCAUCCAAACAGCUCAACUAAAAGUGCAGCUAAUAAUUAGUUAUAUCCCAAAUAUCCGUUAGUUUCCUAGCUAUCCCACACCGGCUAAAACCAGCUAAUCAAUCCCCUGUUUCUCCACACUGACCGGACCGCGAGAGGCACCACGGCCCACCUCCACGCCGAUGCCGAGCCCCGUAGGGUGGAGCGGCGUCUUCCCACCUGCAACCACCGCUGGUUCCCACUGAUCCCCUCCGCCAUCGCUGGACCUCGCCGUGACUGUCGCCGCUGUCCCCUACGCUGCUGUCGUCCUCUACGCUGCCAUCGUCCCUACAUCGCCAAUCCACAAGGUGCGAAUCAUCCGGUCUCGUUGCCUGUUUCAUUUCAGCUGAUUAAUCUCGCCCACGACGAGAUCCUGUGCGUGCGUCCCAGAUUCCGCUAGAUUUUAGAGACGUACUGGCCCUUCCUCAAGUAUUCUCCCAGUGCACUUCUCUGGUUACGGUGAUUCCGCUAGAUUGGAUUCCGCUAGAUUUCUAUAGGAGCUAGCUUCUAGCCAUGCAUGAAUCGUUGGGGAGCUAGGAGCAUAUUUAUGCUGGUAGUAGUAGAAUCUACUUUGCAUUUGAACAACGCCAACAAGUACGAGUGCAUUUGGAAGUAGAACAAUUCAGCUUGCAUUCAGAAUCGUUGGGAGCUGGAAGCAUCUAUACUGCUUGGCAUUGAGAUGUUGUUUGGCCAUGGCUUCAAGUUAUAAAUUCAGCUUCAUCUAGAGAUGAUAGUUCGUGUUAGCACAUUGGGAACCCAACUAAGCUUCCAUGGGGUUUUUCUGCCUCGACAUAAAUAUGUAUUAAAAGGGGAGUCGUCUAUAUGUAUAAAGUUACUGACAGUGAGAUAACUGAUUUUAAAAGGGGAGCCAUCUAUGGAUACUGCAUGUGUGAUGUCAAACAUACGCAGAUGCAGUACUGCACUGAAAUUACUUCUGUGAAUUCCUAGUUAUAAUAUGCAUAGUACUGAAGUAAUAAUGUCAAACUCAAUUCCAUGACAUAUUUUAGUUUUUUUGUGGUCGAUGAGUUAUAGCAGCUAUGGCUACCUUUUUUGUAAUGUUGAACUCAUCUAUAUGAUGAGAUAUGUUCAGAGUAUUGAUUGUUUGUAUAUACUCGUUCGUUAUUGAUUGUUUGGUCUCUCUAAUUGCAGCCAUGUUCUUCGGUUCUGACGAGGCUGAGUACCACACGACCCUUAUCAGGUCGCCCUCCAAUCCCGUGAACAGGGGUCUCUUCUCAGAUGAAGUGGCGCCAAGUCUUCAUAGGGAGCAGUUUAUCCCUUCUCCGCGAUCUGGUAGAGUGGAUGGGCUGGACCUCAACUCCAGCGACGUGGAGUUCCAGAACAUCGCAUCAUUUCAAGACCUUCGUCAGUCUCAGUCUGCUGCCAACUACUCUGCUACUCCAGUUCUUGAUGGUCAUAGGGGUCGCAAUCAUUCUCGAUCAGUUCUUGGCCGCGGUGUUACAGGCAGAGGCUUCCGAGCAACACGGACGACCAGUGAGGGUCCUAGAGGUGGUCGUGGAGCACGAAGCAUCUUAUCUCGUGGACGUAGUAUGCCUCGACCUAUUGGUGCUUCCUCGUCAGGUGGUCGUUGUGCCACAAGUGGUCGUGGUGCCAAUAUUUCAGCGCCAAAUGCCGCUCACAGUCAAGAGGACAAUGACGAUCCCUUUGCACAAGUAACUCAUUUUCCUAACUUGGUCACUCCAAUGUUGUAGUUGUGUGGCUUCUUUCUUUAUUAUCCUAAAUUCUAUUUAAACUAAUAGUUAGAGGUGAAAUGUUUUGAACUGUUUUUAACUAAUAGUUUAUCAGUGUAUUGAUACAUCAUGCUGCUUCUGCUGCACUACUGUAUAGAAAUAUUUUUAUUGGACAUUCAUGUUUGCUCUGCCUUUUCAUAUGGUAGACGGGUGAGACAUUUGACAAGGCAAAUUGGACGGAUCCAUACAACAAUACUACAUUUUGUGACCUUUGUGUUGAGCAAAUAAAGGCUGGUAAUAGGGUUAAUGGCUUCAUGACUACCAGAGGCUACCAUGUCAUAACUGAGAAGUAUUAUCUAAGAACUGGUUUAAGACAUUCUAAAACUCAGUUGAAAAAUAGAUGGGAUCAGUUGAAGGGUCUCUAUAGCUUUUGGUUGUGGCUCAACAAACAGACGGGUCUUGGCCGGGCAAAUGGUACUGUUGUUGCUGAUGAAUCUUUUUGGAGGGAAAACACAAAGGUAUUCAUGAAGCUUGCCUUCUGUUUGUGUUUUUUGUGAGAUACAAAGGUACUAAUCAUUCUGAAUUUUGCCAGAAUCACUCUGAAUGGAAGAAGUUACAAUAUGGACCACCUGAAAAUCUUGAUCAGCUUCAACAAAUGUAUGAGCAUAGUGCUGUUGAUGGUUCAUCGUCUUGUAUUCCUGGAGAGCAUAUGAAUGAAGGUGACGGAGGUGAUGACUUGGAUGAGGAUAUUGCAAGUCCAGCUAGUGGAGCAAGAAAGAAGAGGGCGUGCAACACUAGUACUGCAACAAGUCCAUUGAAGAGAGGACAAAGCCCUAUGUUGAAGAUUAUGAGGGGCAUGUGGGGAACUUUGCAGUCUAAUAGUGUUGCUGCAAAAAGGGUCCUAGAGGGAGAAUUAAGGACAGAGUCAAUCAAGAAGGCGAUGAAUCUGGUUAAGGAAUGUGGUGCACCUGAAGGAAGUGUUGAGCAUUACAUGGCUACAAAAUUGUUCGUGAAAGCUGAAAACCGAGAUAUGUUCUUUACUUUUGAAUCAAAUGAAGGAAGAUUGUCUUGGUUAAAGAGAAAUUGUCAGGACUAUGGGUUGUCUUGAGUUGGUAGUUGUCAUGAGUGUGUCUGCCUAUCUACUGUCAUGGACCUUUUAUGUAUUGAUGUCGUGAACAUUCUAUGUGUGUCUGCUGUCACAAACCUUUUAUGUACUGCUGUCAUAAACCUACUAUCAUGAACCUUUUAUGAAUCUUCUAUGUGUUUCAAAUCAUAUGUAUGUGCCUUGAAUGAUUAAGUUUGUUGAUCUCUUAUUAUUGUCUAUGUAGAUUGAUUUUUUCCCAAAUGAUGAGGAUGAGACAGAUGACAUAGUUGAGGUGGCUCUUGGUGAACUUGAGAUGAUGGAACAAUAUGGUGCCUUCAUGUCUACAUUUGGUAUGUACUAUGAUGCUACCUUCUUUAAUAAAAGAAGUCGUAGGGAACCUCAAGUCACUGGAUAUGAUUGGGUAGUGAGGACACUUAAUGAUCCUAGAGAGUGCUUUAAUAUGUUUAGAAUGAGUAAGCAUAUAUUUGAAAGUCUUCAUGAUGUCCUUGCAUCAACAUAUGGAUUGCGGUCAACAUGUCAGAUGAGUUCCAUAGAAGCUUUAGCCAUGUUUUUGUGGAUCAUUGGUGCUCCACAAUCAAUUAGACAAGUUGCCAAUCGUUUUGAGAGGUCAAAAGAGACGAUUAGUAGAAAAUUUGAAGAAGUGUUACAUUGUGUUUAUAAGAUGUCUGCUCAUAUCAUUAAACCAAAAGAUCCAGAAUUUUCUACUGUGCACCCAAGAGUACAAGCUCCCCAAUUUUCACCGCAUUUUGAUAAAUGUAUUGGAGCUAUAGAUGGGACACAUGUGCGUGUUGUUGUCCCAUCAUCAAAGGUGCUGCAACAUACAGGGCGUCAUGGGUAUACAACUCAGAAUGUAUUGGCCAUAUGUGACUUCGAUAUGAGGUUUACCUUUGUGGUCGCCGGAUGGCCAGGGUCAGUUCAUGAUAUGAGAGUGUUUAAUGAUGCUCUGCGCAAAUAUGGUGACAAAUUUCCUCAUCCUCCUCCUGGUAAAUAUAUAUACUACAAAGUUAUUUUAUGGUCAUGGCUUUAUCAUUUUCUAAUGGUCUAACUUUUUGUAGGAAAAUUUUAUCUUGUUGACUCGAGGUACCCUAACCGUGAUGGUUACCUAGCUCCUUACAAAGGAACUAAGUAUCAUGUACCAGAGUUUCGACAAGGCCCUAGACCAAGUGGGAAGGAGUUAUUCAAUUUUUGUCACUCAUCUCUUCGCAACGUCAUCGAGCGUUCGUUUGGCGUGUUGAAGAUGAAAUGGAGGAUCUUGUUACACUUACCAUCAUAUCCAAUGGUAAAGCAAACAAAGAUUAUACUUGCGUGCAUGACCCUUCAUAAUUUCAUUAGAGAAAGUGCUAUGGCGGACGCGGAUUUUGAAAUGUGUGACAAUGAUGAGAACUAUAUAUCGAUUCAGAGCAACAAUUUGUUUGAAGAAGAUGGUGAUGAAGAACAAGGCAUGAACGCUUUCCGUGACAACAUUGCAAAUGCGUUGUUCAUCAUGAGAGGGUGACAAGUUGGAGAUACUAUUUGUGUUGACAAAGUAGUUCAGUUUGUAUUGCUAUGAGACAAGUUUCUCUACAUUUUUAUAAACAGAUGUACAUUUUCAGAAUGACUGUUUUUUGUUUGAAAAAAGAUGAGGUUGAGAUGGGCAGUUGAAAUGAACGGUUGUAAAGCUGAAAUUGAAUAUUGAUUAGAUAAAAAAUGGUUGAAAUCUAUUGAACGGAUGUACAGGCGUACAACUGACAAAGGACUGCUUCGGCUAACCUGAAACCUUUUAGCUAUAAUCCAAACAGCACCAAACUAAUAGUUAGCAGCUAAUAAUUAGCCAACUAUUUUUGCUAGCAACUUAUUAGCUAACUAACUAUUAGUUAUAGUGCAUUCAAACACCCCUGCGGUGGGCGAAGAAUAUCCACGGGGGAGCAUACUCAUAGUUGGCUUGUCAUUAUUCGUGGCCACAUUUCAUUACGGAAUUUGAGUUCCAAUAAACGGAAUAUACCUUCGUCGAUCACCUUGAAGGAUUGUAUCAUUAGAAUUUUCAUACAGGGCUGGCCUUUUGAGUCUCUGCCUACGCACGCAGAUGUUGUGGUUCUUGUGUUUGUAGCCUAUAUGUACUCCCUGAGUCGAUUAUAGAAAUGUUUAUUCCAUUUUGAGUUUUUUGUUCCUUCCUUUUGCUUUGCCGUCUAAGACUGAGAUGACGCCAGCUGCGCUGCAGAUUUGUGAUUGUAAUGGACUGGCCAUGGCAAGGUGUCGUUGUCUCUCUCAAAUUCUGUAAAAUGGAGUACUACUAUAAACCACAGUCUAGUCUGGUUUCGGAGGCUUUUCCAACGAGCGAGAAGCUACAGAAUCACAAUCUAGUCUGGUUCGGCGCUUUUCCAACAAGAAGAGCUUUGUUUCGGUGCUUCUCCAACGAGAUGCCACGAGCAGCAGAAGAGCUUCCGGGAAAGUGCAGGCGUAGAAACACACAGAACAGAACCUUCUUUACCUCGAUCGAC